rnacentral:sRNA from 1 species
CCAGACCCACCACUCUGAAUGUAGUGCACACUUAAGAAUUUAUAUGGCUCAGCGUUGAGGCUGAGACAUGUUCUUUUAUAACUUGUGACGUAGCGAGCGUUUGAGAUAUCUAUCUAAACGUGUCGUUGAGGCUAAGGCGGGGACUUCGAGUCCCUAAAUAAUUGAGUCGUAUGUUCGCGUUGGUGGCUUUGUACCCCACACAACACGGCAUAUGACCCUGAGGCAACUUGGGGUUAUAUGGUCAAGCGAAUAAGCGCACACGGUGGAUGCCUAGGCGGUCAGAGGCGAUGAAGGACGUGGUAGCCUGCGAAAAGUGUCGGGGAGCUGGCAACAAGCUUUGAUCCGGCAAUAUCCGAAUGGGGAAACCCACUGCUUCGGCAGUAUCCUGCAGUGAAUUCAUAGCUGCUGGAAGCGAACCCGGUGAACUGAAAUAUCUAAGUAACCGGAGGAAAAGAAAUCAACCGAGAUUCCCUAAGUAGUGACGAGCGAACGGGGAGCAGCCCUUAAGCUGGAAUGGCUUUAGAAAAACAAUCUGGAAAGAUUGGCCAUAGAAGGUGAUAGCCCUGUAUUUAAAAGGGCCACUCCAGUGAAGACGAGUAGGGCGGGGCACGUGAAACCCUGUCUGAAUAUGGGGGGACCAUCCUCCAAGGCUAAAUACUCCUGACCGACCGAUAGUGAACCAGUACC